UAUCCGAUGCAGAGCACUUAGUCCAGUAUUAGCAGUAGGCAGAGAAGGUCCAUUAAUGCUUCUUGUGAGAGGUAGAAUGAUUGGCGGUGACUUUCCGCACUUGUACCCACUUAAGUUAGUAGCUGCUGACCACAGACUCUUAAGAAACCAAGUGGAAUAAAACACUAUUCGACCACAUUUAAUAACGUUUUUUUUUUUUUUUCCCCAGCAAAAUUGCGCCUCCAACACUGUCCAUUUUACCAGCGGGGUUUUGUCAGCACACGUUCAAGGCCGUGCACCUUACAUCAGCGUAACCUUGACGUUUGCACCACUUACACACUGCUGGUGCAACGUAUUUGUGACAAAACAUUUCAUGCUGGUGUUCAGUGAGGGUCGCACAGCCUUGAUCUUGGCUGUUUUGCUGUUCUGAGGUGAGACAUGGAAAUAUGUGUUUCAUCAAACCUAUUCAUGGAGAGCUGCAGCUCAAGGCAGGCUGCAGAUUCCGCUGUGGGUAAAUAUGGACACGGGCAGUAACUUCAAAAGAAGGGACAAAAUGUGCACCUUACUUUUCUUAAUGUGAAGGGUGAAACUGGAGUACCCGGAGAAAAACCGCAGCAUUCCUACAUUGGCCACCGUGUGACGCCAGGUUCAUCUACUGAGUUCCCAGCCUUUGUAUUUGAGCUUCAACUUCCCAUGGAUAUAUAAUAAAAGCUCCCAUCCCAACAAUGGCAGCAUCACCAGAGGCAAAGGCAGCAUGACUGACGUAAGCGUUGACACAAAAGACACAUCUCAGUGCUUUUCACAACCGAAAACUUU